UAUAGGAUAUACAUACAAACUUGGCGUAUUACUUUGGAUUCUUACUGGGGUAGCGGUGUUUAUAUCAACUGUAACUCUGACUACACUUUUCCUGAGAAGACGAAACAGCGGUAUAUUUUUUACAGAGACAAAACCAGUCAUCUACCAUGCUGCACCGCAAUUAGAACCACAAGUCCUUCCAUAUAACGAUAUCCAUGAUAACCCUUACGAUGACUGUAACGAAGACCCGACUGGUACUCCAUAUUAUAUCGAUGUUAUAGACAGCGAGGAGGAAAUUACUGUACCCGAAAGCAGCUGCCAGUAUGAGGAAAU